UGAGCGAUCUGCCCUUCUCUUUGGAAUAAGCGUUGGAAACGACGUCUAAUGCCGAAUACGACCUCCUUUCGCAUGAUCGGAGGUGGAAAGCUCCGGCGGAGAAGGAUGAGCUCGCGGCCUAUCAGCUAGUUGGUGUGGGUAAUGGCCCACAAGGCGACGACGGGUAGCCGGCCUGGAGGAGGGUCGACCGGCCACACGUGGGACUGAGACACCGGCCCAGACCUCCGUACGGGAG
rnacentral:rRNA from 1 species